rnacentral:lncRNA from 1 species
CUCUGGCCAGGCCAGAGCUUCGAGGGCUGGGGAGCGGGAAAGAAGGGGCAGUGCGCGGGGUGUCCCGCAACAGGACGUCACCGGAGGGAGCGGCGGCCGCAGGUACCGGCUCCGGAGAGAUUUCUGCAGCGAGGAGGCUGCUGCGGGCCCAGCCUGCGGACGCGCCGUUCCCACGUGGCACUGCGGCCCAGGGUCUGGCGCGGAGAGGGCCCACAGCGUACUUGGUGACACUGUAUGCCUUCACCGCUCAGCCCCCGGGUCUGGCAUGACAGACAGGACAGCACCAGGGGAGUCAAGGGCACUGGCGAGACCCGACUAGGCGAGGCGGGUGGGGUGGAGUGAAUGAGAACUCUGGUGGGGGGCCGGGGCGCAGGCAGGGGCGAAGGGCGGGAGCCUGGCGGCGAGUCCGCCGGGGCGCUGGCCUCCAGAGCCCGUGGCCGAGGUGGGCCUCCGCGGGCGACGACGGAGCAGGGAUCGGUGCCUCUGGACUCGGGACUGGAGACGAGGGUGAGUGCCCGCUGGCGUGCCCGACACCCCACCGUCCCCCCGCCCGCCCACCGCCUCUGCCUGCGGCUCAGCUGGCACCCCCUCCCCUCGCCCGCAGCCAGGUCUCCAGAUCGGGUGACGUGCUGCUGGCCUCCGAAGGCCGGGCGCGAGGCUGCGCUCAGAGAGGCAUGACAUGGUCCGGUGCGACGGCGAGGACAGACGUGACGCCGCCCGGCCUUCCUGGUGAGCGCGGCUGUGAGGCUUGGCCCCCGCAGGCCGACCCACCCGCAGGGCGUCACCCCUGAGCGCUCUUGCUUCCCUAGACCAUUCUAGGCUGGCGCCGCGGGGACCCGGAACACCCAAGGGCUCGUUCCUCUGCGCUCCUGAAGGAGCCGACACAUGACUGCUGCUCUCUGGACCCCUAGAACCCUCAAAACGACAAGGUGAGGAGUCCCCGGCCAGCCGCGGGCAGCGGGCGCGGGCCAAGGAGCAGGGAACUCACCGUGUCCUGCCCCGCAGAAAUGGUGCUACCCAGCUCACGCCUGGGCCUUGGAACUGGGACUUCUUCAAGUCCCCUCUAGCUCUGACUCAAGAAUAUGCUGCAUUCUGGAACCACUACACUCCUUGACUCAGGAAUCGGCUCUGGAAGGUGAGUGCGGGCACCCUUCCGGAAGCUUCCGGGGCCGCCCUGCCCGGUCCCCGCUCACACGUCCUGUCGCUCUCUGCAGGUCAAGCUACAGGAACGAGACCAGCCCGACAGCAAGACCGUCGGAAGCGAGCAGCACCCGCGGCGGCCGCCACCCCGCCUGGCGCCUCCGUCUCCGUGGCCACCCUGCCGUGGACAGGCGACCACCAACCAGCCUCCACGCCCCCACGCCCCUCACCCUCCUUCUCUUCUUCCUUUCCUCUGUGCUUUCAUUUCCUUUCUUUCCUUUCCCCUUUGCUCGGGACUCAAAGCCACCGUGACUCCGUUUCCCCGUCCCUCCCGAAUUCAAUUUGCACUAAGUCGUUUGCACUGGUUUGGAGUUCUGGGUCUGGCCUCGAGUCCCCGAGCGCGUGUGCAAGCAAGAUGCUGAGUGCCCGCGCCGUGCCCAGCGCCCACCUGCCGUCCAUCUCUGCCUGGGGGUGCCUGGGUGCGUCCGAGUGUGUGGGGCCCCACCCUCCCCUUGCCUAGUCUGGGAGCUCCAAACACCGAGCAAACCUUGAAGCAUUCCGUUGUAGAGCAGCUCGCUCUGUGCCCCUC